AUAUUUUAUGCAAAUUAAAAUUGAAUUCUUUGCUUAGUUUAAGCAAUUUCCCUGUAAGGAGUGUGUCGAGGAGAGAGAUUACAACAUUUGCCUGGUUUGUUUAUAAUUUAAUUUUUUUUUUUAUGUUGCGGCUGGCAGAGGAGGAGAUGCAACACCUGUGAGUGUUUAUAACGUCCCAUCUCCUUCACAGCUGCUCCUAUUCAAAACACCUCGCCGGCGUAAUAAUUUCAUAAAAUUUCAUGAUUUACCAUCUGCUCGUGCCGGUUUGGGCUUCGGCAAUAAGCUCGUGCGUGGCGCCCGGCCCAGAAAGGUACAAUAACUGUAUAUUUUAACUUAAUGGUUUUUUGGGGGGCAUGCAAAUUUCUGUGAGCAGAUUGUGCUGAGGCCUGGGCUUGGAGCGGCCUCCCUGAGCCCCAGAAGCCCCCCGGAGCACCCCCGGCUCAGUGAAGGUUGCCCGUGUCAAAAUCGAGAUAUCAAACACCAAGGCUGAAAGACAAGCCAUGAGGCAAGUCGUGACCAUGGGCUCUCCCUGGUUAAUUAUUCAGCCAAGGGCUGCCACCGUCACCAACACUGAACAGAAGCCAUGGCCAGAGAGGUGUCUUUGGAGAGAUGGACUUGGUGGUCUGAAGAUCCCUGAGCCGUGCAAUCUCUUACACACCUCAGUGGCUCUUCUCCUUCAUCCCAGCAUCCUUGAUGGUCCAAGUGGCUUGCAUACUGGGCUUCUGCCGUAGAACAAGGGAUUGCUCCGUGCAGCUUCUGGUUUGUGAACUGACAAGGACAGAACGCCUUCAGCCAGGUUUACAAAGCAUGUUGUUGCAGUGAAUGUUGCAGAAGCUGGUGGCUGAGAAUGGCUGGACUCUGUCUUCUCACAGUUCUGGGGUCCAGAAGUCUGCAGCGAAGGCUCCGGGCUGCUUCCCUCCUGCCUCUCCAUCUCCACACGAGGCCAGUGAUCUUCCGUACCUCAGCCGGGCUUGUGGCUGCACCCCUCCACUGUGCCUCUGAAGUCGGGUGGUCUCCUCGUCCCUUCUCCCCUUGUAAGACACUAGUGCAGCUGGAUGAAGGACCACCCACUCUGGGCAGUCAGCGGAGGUUGGAGACCACCUAGGAGAGAAUGGAGGACAAGAGACUCGAAGAAGGAUGCCAAGACAUGAGUCUG
rnacentral:sRNA from 1 species